UUCAAGAAAAACUUGUCAAACCAGCUUGCGGGUGUUCUUACCUCAAUUUUUUUUCCCUCCAUCGACAACACGUAUAGUAUCAGAAGAGAGAGAAAUUAACUGUUGCAAAAAGAACUUUCCAAAAUAACCCUCAUCUUUAUAUCAUGCCACCCUUUACCUUGCAAUAGUUUUCGACUGGGCAUUUGCAAAUCCAUCUCUUCUUCGAUCCUCUCCUCUCCUCUCAAAAUUAAUCUUCUUUCCUUUAUUUUUUUCUCUUUUAAAAAAUUAUUACUUUUCCAAAAUUGAUCAUGCCCGAUUCUUUUCUCUAAGAAGCUAUCUGCAGAUUUGUGUUGUUUGUGGAGGCUCAAUAACAAGAAUAGCCCGAAAACUACAAAGAACAAACAGAAAAGGUGUUGUGAAGUAGGAAAACUAAAGCAAGAACAAGAAGGGAGCAGUUUGAAUAUGCUUGUGCAUUAUUGGAUAUCAUCUGCUUUUGAAACACAUAUUUAUGAGUGUUGGCCCACAACAAAAUAUGAUUAUAACUAAGGUAAUUCAGGUUCACCAUUCGUUAAACUUUGUUGCAGCUACUAGGGAUGAUUGCUCCUUUAAUUUUGAUGGUCUUUGUUGACUCGUGACUAGUGAGGAGCCACACAUGUCAUAAUCAUGGAUUAAUAAAGCUAAGAAAUCAUCAACUCACAAGGGGCUUUUCGAAUUAGUCAUUGCUCAUUAAUGAAACUGUAGAAUUAUAUAAUCACUGGUGUAUCUUAUACAGCGUUUGCAUGUUGUGUUAUUGUUGUUUUGUUCUUUUUAAGAGGGAAAGGGCUCGGUUCCAUAACAAAGGCAUUUUAUAUGGUCUGCAGUUCUUACUUAGUUAAUGUUAUUAUUUGUUGUUAGUGUUUAAUCUUACAGCUAAUACUUAAAUUCUUGUCUAAACAAAAUGACAUUGGUUGUUUGCUUUCAAAUAUGUUAUCGAACUAGGAAUGAAAGGUCCUUAAAUUAUGGAUAAAGUUACUUAGACUAAGGAAAUGUUGCGUAUCUUUUGUGAUAUUUACAUCAAGACCAACGACAUGGGAAUGAGACCAAAUAUUCAUUUCAAUAAAGCUGGUUGGAAAUCUCAAUCGACAUCCUUCAAAGAACAAAUUGACCGUGUAUUCACCAAGGCACAACUGAAGAACAAAUGAGAUGGCUACAAAAAGAAUUGGAGGAUGUGGAUAGAGCUGAUUUCUGAAACUAGUGUUGGUUGGAGUAGCAAAUUAGCAACUAUCUCUGAAAUAAGAGAAGCGAAAAAGUCUAGGCAUGCUGGUAUCGAACCAUCUUUAUGGUUUAAGUUUUCUCAAACAUUGUUGCUACUAGACAGUAUGCGUGGGCACCAUCUUCCAAAGUCUUGUGUGAUGAUCUUCCAAAGUCUUGUGUGAUGAUGAUGCUGGUGAUGAUGGCAAUCACAAUGCCAAUGUUGAUGAGCCUAAUUUGGAAGAAGAAAGCAGUGAUUCUGAGGAGGAUGGCAUUCCAAAUUUUACGGAUGAUAUUUGUAACAUAGUUGGUGGGGUUAAAAUGUCCAGCAAAAGUAACACACAAUUCUGUGGCAAGAGAAAAUAAAAAGGAAUAUUUUGAGGUUCAAGAUAGGAAAAAAGCCUUAUAAAAUCGGAUUACAGCUGCUGUCAUGUUGGGAUCAACUAGUUGACAGCAUGUCCACCAAGAGCGAUUCAACAUCUGUUAGCAUGGAUAGGAAAUGGUGUAAUAUUCAUGAGGUUAUGACAGAGCUUCACUUCAUUGAAGAAGUUACCAUAGGAGAUGAAUUUCAUGGCUUUACUACUGAGUAUUUGAGUUUAAGACGGGUGAGAGAAAUGUGGGCAAAUAUAGGAGAUCUUGAAAAGAAGCUUAAAUGGAUACAAAGAAUGUAUGAGCGAAUAAACCUGUUUAGAUCGAGAGAUUAAUAUGGUGGCUGUGUUGACAAGAUGAUUGCCAAUAUCAUGCUUAAAUUCUUGUAAUUUGACAUAUAAUUAGUCUAAAAUUCUGUAAUUUGACAGUUAAAUCCUCAAUUGUUGGCAGCUGCAUUCGGUUAAGUUUUAGUGCAUUAGGAUUUAUCAUGUGAAAUUAUAGAAGGUAGAUUAGUUAGUUAAAUCCUUUAUGUGUUUGCCAAUUGUUGAGUAUGAUGAGUUUGUUAGUUGUUAACAUGUAAUUUAUGAGAAUAAUUGGUGAAAAAUUUCCAUGUUAUUUGUCCUUGCCGAUGAUAAAUUGACAAGCAAGCAAAUACAAUCGCUCAUGGCUAA